UGCCUGAUGGCACCGGAGAUGUUAUAAUUAGACCGACACAAAGGUGUUUCGCUGUUUCACAUGUUCUUAGAAAUAUAGGGACGACUUCUCUAUCUGUCCACAUAGCCAGUUCAUGUGAUUACAUUC
rnacentral:snoRNA from 1 species